AUAUUUUGACAAACGCUGCAUUCUUUGUAAUGUAGAGGAAAGUCCAUGCUCGCACAAGCUGUGAUGCUUGUAGUGAUCACGCCUAGGGAAACAAUAACCUAGGGUAGCUUUAAAGCUAACGGCUGCUGGUUAACCUAAGUUCUAUAAGAAUAUGGUUAAUUGGCUAUAAAAGUGCCGCAGUGACGAUUUAUCUCAGAAAUGAGAUAAGUGAAACGUUGGUAAACCCCGUGAGCGAGAAACCCAAAUGUUGGUAGGGGAACUUUCACGAAGGAAUAAGAACGGAGUGAAAGCUGAAACUAGUUUUCAGAGACAAAUGUUUGUCGCCUAGUGAUAGGUUACAGAACAUGGCUUAUAAAA
rnacentral:RNase_P_RNA from 1 species